rnacentral:rRNA from 1 species
AACGAACGCUGGCGGCAGGCCUAACACAUGCAAGUCGAGCGAGGACUUCGGUCCUAGCGGCGGACGGGGGAGUAACGCGUGGGAACGUGCCCUUUGCUACGGAAUAGACAUGGGAAACUGGGAGUAAUACCGUAUGUGCUCGAGAGGGGAAAGAUCUAUCGGCUAAGGAUCGGCCCGCGUUGGAUUCGGUAGUUGGUGGGGUAAUGGCCUACCAAGCCGACGUUCCAUAGCUGGUUUGAGAGGAUGAUCAGCCACACUGGGACUGAGACACGGCCCAGACUCCUACGGGAGGCAGCAGUGGGGAAUCUUAGACAAUGGGCGCAAGCCUGAUCUAGCCAUGCCGCGUGAGCGAUGAAGGCCUUAGGGUUGUAAAGCUCUUUCAGUGGGGAAGAUAAUGACGGUACCCACAGAAGAAGCCCCGGCUAACUCCGUGCCAGCAGCCGCGGUAACAC